GCCAGAUGUGGUGGCGCACACCUGUAAUCCCAGCAGCUCAGGAGGCUGAGACAGGAGGAUCAUGAGUUCAAAGCCAGCCUCAGCAAAAGUGAGGCACUAAGCUACUCAGGGAGACCCUGUCUCUA
rnacentral:sRNA from 1 species